rnacentral:rRNA from 1 species
UUGAAAGGGAAACGAUUGAAGUCAGUCGUACCCUCGGGUAAUCAGCCUUUUGGGUGUGAUUUUGUGGAGCGUGAAGAGUUAAACGCCUUCAUGCCUGCAUAUUCGUGCAUUUUGGGUGUACUUGCCCGUAUGGUUGGUUAACAUCAAUUUUGGUGGUCAUAAAAUGACUGGAGGAAUGUAGCUUCGAUCUCGUAUUGAAGUGUUAUAGCCUUCGGUAGAUGUGAUGAUCGAGAUUGAGGAUUGCAACGGAUACCCUUCGGGGCUACUGUCUGAUCUCUGAUCGUUGCUCUGGUGCCGAAAGCUUGCUUACGGUUAUCAAAGUCGAUGGUCAAUAGGUUAGAACGGGUUAAAUUCGUUAAGGAUGUUGACGUA